rnacentral:rRNA from 1 species
AGCAGCCGCGGUAAUUCCAGCUCCAAUAGCGUAUAUUAAAGUUGUUGCAGUUAAAAAGCUCGUAGUUGAAUUUCGGGGUCAGCAGGUUGGUCGUGCCACUGGUAUGUACUGGUCUCGCUGAUUCCUCCCUCUUGUAGAACCGUAAUGCCAUUAAGUUGGUGUUGCGGGGAAACAGGACUGUUACUUUGAAAAAAUUAGAGUGUUUAAAGCAGGCUAACGCUUGAAUACAUUAGCAUGGAAUAAUGAAAUAGGACGAUCGAUCCUAUUUUGUUGGUUUCUAGGGUUGACGUAAUGAUUAAUAGGGAUAGUUGGGGGCAGUUAGUAUUCAAUUGUCAGAGGUGAAAUUCUUGGAUUUAUUGAAGACUAACUACUGCGAAAGCAAUUUGCCUAAGGAUGUUUUACAUUAAUCUAAGAACGAAAGUUAGGGGAUCGAAGACGAUCAGAUACCGUCGUAGUCUUAACCAUAAACUAUGCCGACUAGGGAUCGGAUGAUGUUAAUUUUUUAAUGUACUCAUUCGGC